rnacentral:rRNA from 1 species
ACGGUCCAGACUCCUACGGGAGGCAGCAGUGAGGAAUUUUGGUCAAUGGACGGAAGUCUGAACCAGCCAAGUCGCGUGAAGGAAGGCGGCCCUAAGGGUUGUAAACUUCUUUUGUAAGGGAAUAAAGGACGGUACGUGUUACCGGUUUGCAAGUACCUUACGAAUAAGGAUCGGCUAACUCCGUGCCAGCAGCCGCGGUAA